rnacentral:rRNA from 1 species
GACGAACGCUGGCGGCGUGCUUAACACAUGCAAGUCGAACGGAAAGUCCCUGCUUUUGUGGGGUGCUCGAGUUGCGAACGGGUGAGUAACACUUGAGUAACCUGCCAUUGACUUUGGGAUAACUUCAGGAAACUGGGGCUAAUACCGGCUAGGAGCUCCCGCUGCAUGGUGGGGGUUGGAAAGUUUCGGCGGUUGGGGUUGGACUGGCGGCCUAUCAGCUUGUUGGUGGGGUAGUGGCUUACCAAGGCUUUGAAGGGUAGCCGGCCUGCGAGGGUGACCGGCCACAUUGGGACGGAGAUACGGCCCAGACUCCUACGGGAGGCAGCAGUGGAGAAUGUAGCACAAUGGGCGGAAGCCUGAUGCAGCAACGCCGCGUGCGGGAUGACGGCCUUCGGGUAGUAAACCACUUUCGCCUGUGACGAAGCGUGAGUGACGGUAAUGGGUAAAGAAGCACCGGCUAACUACGUG